GGCCACUGGACCAGGCGCCGCGCUCAUAAGCGCUGCCCCAGGCAGAGGGCCAAGAGGGGAAGAGGAUCUGGGGCCGGGACCCUUUAGAAGAAGAACCGGGUCCUUUCGCACACACCAGGCCACAGCCGUCCUCCUGCUCCGACCCGCGGGGGCUCCCGGGUCUGGUGCGCAGGGCUCUUCCCGCCCCUCAGCCAGCGCCCAGCGCAGGAAUCUACAUGUGAUGCCUGGAGGUGCAGCAGCCAUUACGGCACUACAAGAUUGAAAGUCAACAUCUAAAACGGGGGACAUAGGAGGCUGGAAGACAUCUGGACACCAGCGCUCCGGCCCUGGGACCCUCACCUCCAGAUUCCUUGUUAGAUGAGAAGACCCGAAGUGUUUAAGUCACAGUUUUCAGGUUUUCUUUGACAAAUGCAUUCCCUGUGACACCAAUUGGAACCUGGUUGUGGAUGUCCCCACUGCUCUAGGACACUUUAGGAUGUUUGGAGCCUGUGACAUGGUGACACUAUUGAACACCUGUUGACUGACUAACCGGCUGGAGGAUGAAUGAAUAAUAAACAUCAGGUUUCUACAAGCUCA